rnacentral:rRNA from 1 species
CCCAGACUCCUACGGGAGGCAGCAGUGGGGAAUCUUGCGCAAUGGGCGAAAGCCUGACGCAGCGACGCCGCGUGGGUGACGAAGGCCUUCGGGUCGUAAAACCCUGUUGCAGGGGACGAAGGAAGUGACGGUACCCUGCCAGAAAGCCCCGGCUAACUACGUGCCAGCAGCCGCGGUAAAACGUAGGGGGCGAGCGUUGUCCGGAAUUACUGGGCGUAAAGGGCUCGUAGGCGGUAACUCAAGUCAGUUGUGAAAACCGACGGCUUAACCGGAGGAUUGCAGUUGAUACUGGGUUACUUGAGGCAAGGAGAGGAAGGUGGAAUUCCCGGUGUAGCGGUGAUAUGCGUAGAUAUCGGGAGGAACCCCAGUGGCGAAGGCGGCCUUCUGGUCUUGACCUGACGCUGAGGAGCGAAAGCCAGGGUAGCGAACGGGAUUAGAUACCCCGGUAGUCCUGGCUGUAAACGAUGGACACUAGGUGUAGGUGGUAUCAACCCC